CCCUUAGAUGUUCUGGGCAGCACGCGCGCUACAAUGGUCUUCGCAAACGGAUGCAUUCUCGAAGGAGAAUGCCAAUCUUGGAAUCUAUGCCUUGGUCGGGACAGUUGCUUGCAAUUUUUCGACUCGAACCAGGAAUUCCUUGUAAUCGUGAUUCAUCACAUCACGAUGAAUACGUCCCUGCCCUUUGUACACACCGCCCGUCGCUCCUACCGAUCGAAGAGUUAGGUGAAUUGUUUUGAUCGAUAAGAUUUGACUAUGGUCAACUCUCGUUGUGAAAUUCUGUGAAUCUGACUGUUUAGAGGAAGGUGAAGUCGUAACA
rnacentral:rRNA from 1 species